GCACUUUGUGUACGUGUUCGUUCAACUGGUGGACAAAGGCACAGAAAAUAGGUGAAAAUCUAAAUCCUGUUUUGCAACCCAGAACUCAUCGUUCAGUAUGAGUUUUGAUACAUAUAGGAAUGACUAUG
ensembl:snoRNA